ensembl:lncRNA
GAUUGCAAUCAAGCCUUAAUAACAUUCUGCAGCCUGUGGAGACAUUAACCGUCCCUAAAGCCCAACUAAAUUUUUGUUACAGGCAUCUGCUCAAGAGAUCAAAGUCUGUCCAGGCUCAGCCAGCACAAUACACACACUCCAAAGGAGUAUCAAUUGGGAGGCACAGAAAAUGGACUAGUAUCUUUAAAUGUAUUCCUUCAUCAGCUUUCUUAUUCCUAUUCGAAGUACUCAAAGAUCACCAUGUGGUAUUCUGUAAUCUAGAAGAUGACCAAGGAGAGUUGAGACUUAAAAUCUUGAGAAGCAUAUUCUACUAAGCUGUCCAGGUGGCACUCGACUCAUGAAGUUACUUUCAUGAGGUCUUUGUGCCCAUGGGUACUUUAUGACGAGGAGGAGGAGGAGGAAGUAACACAGCGCAAGCCGUCCAACCUCCCCAAGCUGCCAGGCUCGCCAGCUUACUAACCCCAGAGUGCAGUUUCUUGACAGAACAUGGUCUGCUGAGCUGAGCAGGGCAUGUGGAGAACAGGUGGCAACAACAAAGCCGCUGCAGGUGCUCAAUGAACUGAAGUGUGACAGCCAGCAGCAGCAGGGUGAGCGGCCCAAGCUUUCAGAGGAUGUCUAGAAGCAGAGGGUUGUGUGGGGGCAAAGGGCAAACCAAGAAAAGAGAGGCAACAGUUCAUCCUACAGCGGCCAUCAGGCUUUGGUUGAGUCAAGUCUCCAGACAAAAAGGUUUCUCAAACUAGAGCCACAAAUUGAGUCCAGCCUUUUAGAAAGCAAACUCACCAUAACACCAUCUUUCUGUGACCACAGUGUGGGAAAGGCUGCCUUUGGACCAGCAAUGCUUCUACUCCACACUGACAAUCACCUAUAUCAGUGGUCAGGCUCUGACGGGGCAGGUCGGCCAGUCCUCAUAUGGCUAGUGCCUAAGGGGUCCUUCCUGGGAAAGGCAAUGCCACAGCAGAGUCCACUCCUCGUUUCAAAAAUUCUAAAAUGAUAAACACCCAGGGCCCAAAGUCUGUGUAGAAUGGUUCAAGCAUUCCCUCUUUCUGGACCACGUCCUCUUAAAUAAAUACAUCACCCGCUCCCCAACUUCCCCAAUGUCACACUAUCAGUAGGGUGACUAGCUUGCUGUUCAGGUUGCCUGAGACAGUCCCAGUUGAUGUCUACCCAAGAAUUACUAAAUAGUUCUUGUUUUCAUACUCAUGGUAUCUCCAUUAGACAAUAAAUGAUAUAUUUAUGAUGAUAUUCCCUGACAGAUAAAACCUAUCACUAUUUUCCUUAAUCUACUUUAUCCUUUUUAUUAUUUUUUAUUUCUUUAUAUUAUACAUAUUUAUCAAUAUUAUUUAUUAGCUUCAUAUUUUGCAAUGAUUUGUCUCCUAUGGUCUAUCUUCCCUAUGUUAACUUCUCUGGAGCAAAGACUUAAACAAUUUUGAUAAAUGCUAUAUCCCAGCAUCUAGAACAAUGACUGUCACUUGGAAGGUCUUCCAAAAAUGUCCGUUGAAUGAAUUAAAAAAUGAAGGAAUAAGAUAAAUUUCCCUCCUAAAUAUUAAUAUUUGUUUUAAUGCUCCAGUGAAAUAAUAAUAAAGUUAAUUAACUAAGUCAAUACCCAGUCCUUUCUUAAAAUGCCUUCAACAUUCUUACAAAGCAAUAUGUUUUCACAGAUUUGUUGUCUUGAUGUAUUUCCACCAACCUGCUCUGGACCCCCCGCUCUCCACAUACUCAGUAGAAUACCUCACCAAUGACAUUUGGCAGACAUGUUUUCAAACUGCCUGCCUUGGCCAUGCUUCUUCAUAGUGUCCAUUCCAGCAGCUCUACCAAGUGGGUAGUGGGUCAUAUGACCCUGUCCCUUGAACGACCCAAUCAGAUGACUUGGAAUUAGAACACAGCAAUUCUACGUGCUUCAAAGAGAAAAAAAGAUGGAGAAAGCAGCUGACUUGAUUCCUGGAGAUUUCCAUCUCUCGGCCCUCAUGAGGCCUGGCAAAAUGUCCUGCCAUGGACACCUCUAGCUUAUCCUGCUGUGAAUAGCUUUAUAUUGCUUACAACCAACAACCCUGAGUCACUAGGGAAAAUUCACCAAAAGAGUUGCUCCUUCUUAUUACUACAAAGCACCGUCCAGGCAUAAACUCCCUGUUGCUCACUUCACUGGGACCUGAAACUCCUUACGGGAAAAUCUUUAACUCUCUGGAUCUGAUAUGUACAUAGAUUGGCUCUAGGAAAAUGGAGCAUUUGAGUGAAAAUAUAUUGAAGAUUUAAAGCAACUUCAUGACUUUCCUUUACUCCACAUGCCCACCAGGCAUUUUCAACAAAGUGUGAUUUUAUUACCUAAGCAUAAAAUAUCUAAAAUAGAAGUUCAUUAUUCCUCAUCCUCCUCUUUCUAGUCAUCUCCACUUCUGCCAAUGGCACUCCUCUUUUUAGUAGAUUUAGAAUUUCUUCUCUCCAAACCUUCCCUCUUCCUUUGUCUCUCUCUACAUAGUUACCAAAUCCACAAAACUACUUGUGCUCCCUUCUAAACACAUCUCAAGCAUGUCCUUUCUCAUUCUCACAGUUUCCGGUGAAGCCCAAGUCCUUAGGUGUGGAAAAAACUGCACUCGUAAUUGGUAGGUCUGGGUUUAUCCCAAACUUCCCUACUAACUGGCUUUGGGUCCCAUAUUUUUAAAUGUAAAAAUAUAAGCCAGAGAAUUUGAAUGGCUGAACCUUGAGCAGCCAAUCCAACUAAAACAAUUAGGUGGAUUAAUGAUCAUUUCUUAUCCAAUAAAUCCACUCUGUUUAAUAAAAUUCUAUGUGCACUUUACCCCAUCAAAGUAUUUCCAUAUGGACAUUUUUUCUUUCCCUUCUGCCUUUUCAUUCACUUUCUUUUCAUUUACCUCUUUCCCCAUUCCCACUUCUUAUUUUUAUUUUUGAAAUAUCUUGCUUCAGCUUUCUCCACGUUUGAUUUUUAUGCCCUGGCACCUGGAGAGCACAUGAAUAGGUUCCAAUUUUAGAAGGUGGUACAGCUGGGCUUUUAUGGGAAAUGGAAAAGGACAAAACCUCUUUUUAACAACCUGGAGAGCUCAUCUGGCUUUUUUGACUGUCGCUUUAUGUUUCAUUUUUAGAGGACUAAAUAACAUUCUCAUAACAAAGCACCAGUGGCCCUGAGCACAAUCCCUUGUUGUAAAAGCGGAUCAAGAUAAAUAACCGGGCCUGUGCAUUUCAAUAUUUUAUGAAUGGACUCUAGCCUCAGGGAACCAUUUCAGACUCAAGUUUAGGUCAUAACUUAGUCAAUAAUUCACUGCAUAUGGUUAUUUAAAACUCUGACUUUCUUCAACUGUAGCAAUGGUUCCUAACUAUAUCACAUCCCAAAUCUCCUUCUAUAUCAAAUAUUUUAAUUCCCCUUUACUAUCCUAGAAUGAAAUGCACAGACACUAUAAUCCUAUGUAUAAUCUACACAGAGAUAAUACAUUCAUUCCACAGUUUCCUCUCCACAAUUGGAAAGCCCGAUAAGCUCUGAAAUCUGAAAACUUUUAUCAAAGUUUGGUGCCUAACCUCACUUGGCUGCAUCCCCUGACCUGAACUGAUGAGAGUAAUUUAUUCUAUUUACCCCACCUACUAUGCAUAUUUGCUGCAGCAAAGUUAAAGUGUUUGGUUACAGGGGGCGCUCCCAUAUUCCCUGAGAGUGUUACAUCAUAUCAGGUGUAUGUACUUUAUUAGCUUUCAAAAUAUGAAAAAGACUGAAAACACUUCUGGCUAAAAGAUUCAGAGAAGGGUUUUUGGAACUAUAGAACCUACCUUCCCACCCUGAAAACUCAAUAUAAUACCCUAACUCUAGCAUGAAGAAGAAAUUUAAAAAUACUAAUUUAUAAGAAACAGUAUGUACUUCAUUAUGUAAGCCCUGAGACCUGAAUAGUAGAAUGUGGAUUGAAGUGAUCUGGUGCCCGCACCAGUGCAUAGAACCACCCAUCACUGGGUAUGACAGGCAUACAGGCAAUCUGACAACAGCGUGUCAACUACCCAAUUACAUGACCAGCACAGUGACAUAAUUUUCUGAAAUGGUGAAUAACUUUUGAUAAAUUCCCAAACAAAGCAAAAUACUAUACUCUCAAUUUACACCUCAGUUGCAUUUCCUGGAAAAUAAACUAUAUAUUGAAACUAUAUUAAAAAGCAUAUGUGUUCAUAUGUCACAUAUAGGUGUGUUCAUAUGUCAGAUGGAGUUGAUUCUGAGGGUAAGAUAAUAUGAAACUUGUUCAGGAUAUAUAUACAUUUGUCGUGCAGGGUUCUCCUACACAUGGCAUGACAGCUAGAAUCCCUGGAUCCAACUUCACUAAAUGACAGUGGAGACCCCUCCCCAAAUGCUUAACAACCAAAAAAACACUCCCCCACCAUUUCCAGAAUGCUCCCCGGGGAGGGUGGAGGGGAGUACUUCCCUUCCUGAAAACCAUGGAACUAAUUUAUCUCCAGACCACAUUAGCCUUAGGAGGAUUUGGUAAAUAGAUUAAAUUGGGACUGAAUCCUCACCCAGGCCAUUCUGAUGCUCUAGAAUGUUCAGAUACCUCCCUUUGCAGUAAGUCCUAUCUAAAUGGAAUCCUGAUCCCGCGGCUCUUAGCAGCACUCCCUCUGUGGGCAUCCAUGUCACCCCUUCUCCUUCCCCCAGACACUUGUUCCAUUCAUUUUCAACUGUUCAUUCAACCCAUUUGAUUGAGCACAUGUCAUGUUAAACAGCAGGGAUCCAAAACCCAUUGAGCUCCUGCCCUCAAAGAACUUCCCGUAUAGUCUGACAAGCAGUUUAAUAGAGACAAAUGAAUAUGAAAG